UACGUAGGGACCAAGCGUUGUUCGGAUUUACUGGGCGUAAAGGGCGCGUAGGCGGCAUGACAAGUCACUUGUGAAAUCUCUGGGCUUAACCCAGAACGGCCAAGUGAUACUGUCGCGCUAGAGUGCGGAAGGGGCAAUCGGAAUUCUCGGUGUAGCGGUGAAAUGCGUAGAUAUCGAGAGGAACACCUGCGGCGAAGGCGGGUUGCUGGGCUGACACUGACGCUGAUGCGCGAAAGCCAGGGGAGCGAACGGG
rnacentral:rRNA from 1 species